AGUUUGAUCCUGGGUUCAGGGACGAACGCUGGCGGCGUCCCUACCACAUGCAAGUCGAGCGAUGAAAAAGAAGUAGAUCUUUUCGGAAGUGACGCCUUUUUGGAUUAGCGGCGGACGGGUGAGUAACACGUGAGCAACCUGCCGUACACAUUGGGAUAGCCUCGGGAAACUGGGAUUAAUACCAAACGAAACAUAUUGAUAGCAUUAUCAAAAUGUCAAAGAUAUAUCGGUGUACGAUGAGCUCGCGUCUGAUUAGCUAGUUGGUGAGAUAAAAGCUCACCAAGGCAAUGAUCAGUAGCCGGCCUGAGAGGGUGAUCGGCCACAUUGGGACUGAGACACGGCCCAAACUCCUACGGGAGGCAGCAGUGGGGAAUAUUGCACAAUGGAGGGAACUCUGAUGCAGCGACGCCGCGUGAGCGAAGAAGGAAUUCGUUUCGUAAAGCUCUGUCCUAUGGGAAGAUAAUGACGGUACCAUAGAAGAAAGCCCCGGCUAACUACGUGCCAGCAGCCGCGGUAAUACGUAGGGGGCGAGCGUUGUCCGGAAUUAUUGGGCGUAAAGGGUUCGUAGGCGGUAAUACAUGUCAGAUGUGAAAUCUUGUGGCUUAACCACAUCAAGCAUCUGAAACUGUAUAACUUGAGUGGAGGAGGGGUAAGUGGAAUUCCUAGUGUAGCGGUGAAAUGCGUAGAUAUUAGGAAGAAUACCAGUAGCGAAGGCGACUUACUGGCCUCUAACUGACGCUGAUGAACGAAAGCGUGGGUAGCAAACAGGAUUAGAUACCCUGGUAGUCCACGCCGUAAACGAUGAGUGCUAGGUGUCGGGAGUCAAAUCUCGGUGCCGUAGUAACGCAAUAAGCAU
rnacentral:rRNA from 1 species